AUGGAAGGGCGGAUCCUGAAGGCAAAACCCCACAUGGUGGCUGCACCACGCUCUCUGAAGGGAAGGUCUCCGCUACAGGUUCCCGAGUGGAAAGGGCGAGUGUCUGCCACAGGUCCCCGUGGGGACGGGGAUGCACUGCACACGCGUGCAGAGAACAGCUGCAGAGAGACACGUGAGGGACGCGCCUCCUCUGCCCAGGCCCCUGGUGACUCAGACCCGAAGUACAAGCUGGGACGGGGCAGAGUGCUCACCCUGGGGGAGCAGGGAACAGCUAGUGAGCUGCAGUGGCCUCCACCGGCAGACAUGGGCCAAGGGACACGCAGUGGGGACAGCAGGCCCCAGGGGAAGGGGGUCACUGUGUGGGAGGAGCCUCCUUUUUCUCACUGUGCGCACAGUCCCGAAGCCCACAGGAUGCUAGAAACAGGGAUGGAACAGAAAGCUGACGGAGGCAGACAGCCCAGACCUGACCCCUGGCUCCCCCGCUGGCCGGUGUGGCACUGCCAGGCAGCUGAGCGCUCUGCGCCUCGGUUUCCUCCUCUGUCGAUGGAGAUGAUGCAGAGACACUGUGCUGUACCACACACACACACACACACAGACACACACACCCAUGCUGCACAUCCGGGACCCAAGGGCAGGGACUGCUACACUGGCACCUGCUUUCUCCCCACCCAAACUGACCGCGUCCCUCCAGGACGGCCACAGGGGCCAAGACUGCACUCUAAAAGGAUGCCUGUACCUCGUACUUGAUUCAAAUGCAUAACUAGGAUAAAAAUACAACCAGCACCAAGAAUGCAAAUCACCUGUCCAGAGUCCGCUAGCACGGCAACUGCAUUUCACAAUUUACAUCACAAGUCCUGGGGAAAACACUUGACCCACUCCCCUGACGAGGGACAGAAGAGAGGGAAGACCAGCCAGUGGCACAUUUAAGAGGCGCAGGGGAGCGCCCCUGUGCUUCUGCAAGGAUUCAACGUCAGCCCUGGCUUCCUCGGGCUUCCCCAGGGCUCCAGGCUGAAGAGCAGGCCCAGCUCUGCACACGUGCAGUGAGGUGCAUGCACUGCUGGUGUCCUGGGCUUGUGAGAUUUGUGCACCUGGAACCCUUAGGGAACUCACUGGUUUGUGGCCCAGACAGCAGGCAGGACAGAAACCCAAUGGGUCACCCCACCGUCAGACUCCGCUGCCUUGGUGAGGUGGAGUGACAGGCCUGAGCAGGCACCCCUAGCAAGCUCUCACCGCAGGUAUGGACUGGAGCCCCAGGGCCCACGCCAGGUAAGGAGAAACAAGACAGUGAGGAAGGGAGGGGGCUCUGUCUGGCCCUGUUCUUCACACCUGGAAAGCCCUCUCUGACACAUACUGGCCAAGGCUCCGAGAACCCAGGGCAGACAUAACGUUAGACGAACAGCAGUCAGAGAGGGGGGCCUUGGAGCCCUACUGGGCCACUGCCAGGCCUGGGAAGGGGGAGGGGCCUUCAGGCCCUUGGUGUCGCUGGUGGCCUCUGAACCCCACCCUUGUCCAUCGCCAGCACAGCGAUUUCCUGCCAGGGCCACAGACAGACUACCACACACCACUGAGCAGGAAAGACACAACCUCUCCUCGGUUCCCUUUCCAGCCAGGUCAGAGAGAAAACAAAGGGGAUCCCGGCAGCCUCACUUACCGCAUGGGCUGGUCCGAAGGUGCUCGCCUUGGCACAGGUGGGACCCAAGCCGGGCCCCCGCAGGCUGCCCCAGCUGGCAGACCAGUGCCAUGUGCAGGCGCAAACUCCACGGCAG
rnacentral:lncRNA from 1 species